GUCGAGAGCUCCCCCCGCUUGCCCAGUCUUAUCACUGCGAGUGUCAGCUCCAGCAACUGUUUGGGCGGAUCAAGGGAGAUUCCGGCGUGGGCGCCAAGCUACAUGGCGAUCGUCGAGAUCCAGGCUUGUACGGCGGCCCACGCCGGCUCUCGGCACCUA
rfam:Stenotrophomonas maltophilia R551-3, complete genome.